rnacentral:rRNA from 1 species
GUCCUAGCCUAACGAUCAGGACUUGGGUGCCGCACGUUCGUGCGUCGUCCCGGAGCUAACGCGUUAAGUCCUGCACCUGGGAGUACGGUCGCAAGACUGAACUCAAGGAAUUGACGGGCCCGCACAAGCGGUGGAACAUGUGGUUCAAUUCGACGCUACGCGAGGAACCUUACCUGGGCUCGAAAUGCUUCUGACCAGCUGUAGAAAUACGGCCUUCCCGCAAGGGACAGGAGUAUAGGCGCUGCAUGGCUGUCGU